GGUGACACUGCUUUCUCUUCCUUCUCCCCCUCCUAUCUUAGCGUCCUCUGACGGAUCAUAUCUUGUGAGUGAGGACACAACCAUCGUGGAAGAAUUAAAGGUAAAUAUGACAGAGAAGGCAACGAGAGUUGGGAGGGAAGAGCAGGCUGAGACAUGUAACUAAUGGAGAACUCCAGAGAAGAAAAGGAACAAAAGUUGUCAUCAAAGAAUUCUGUGAUAGGAAGAGAAAACAGACUGUGCGUGUGACAAGACUAGAGAAGGACUAGUGGGAAGUCGAGGCACCCUAUUAAGAUCCUCAUGAUAUCUGGAGAAAGUGAAGAAGGCCUUCAGCACAUUGGCUGAACCCUCAUUGGCAUAUGUAUGAAAGGACAUGCACAAGUAUCAAACAGGAGAGGAGAUAUACAUCAAUUGGGGAUUGGCUGAACAAGUUAUGGUAUAUAAAUGUGAUUAGAUACUAUUUUACUAAAAGAAAUUAUGAAGGUAAUUAUUUCAGAAGAACCUGGGAAGACUUACAUGAAUUAUGAAGUGAACAAAACUAAAAGAACAAUGUACACAUUAAUAGUAAUAUUGCAAAGACAACCUAUUGUGAAAGAUGUAGUAAUUCUGGUCAACAAACUGACUCACUUUAGUUCCAAAGGAUUCAUACUGAAAAAUGCUAUCAACUUCCAGAUAAGGAAAUAAUGGACUCAGCGCACAGACAAGCUUUUUUUUUUUAAUUUUUUCUUUCCUUUUUUUUAAAUAUAGCUAAUGUGGACA